rnacentral:rRNA from 1 species
UGGGUAAUCAACCCUCGGCACCGGGAUAGCCCGAGGAAACUCGGAUUAAUACCGGAUAGCCCCUCCGACUCUCGAGUCGGUCGGGAAAGGUAGCUUAGGCCUCUGGCCGGGGACGAGCCCGCGGCGGAUUAGCUUGUUGGUGGGGUAAUGGCCUACCAAGGCAACGAUCCGUAGCUGGUCUGAGAGGACGUUCAGCCACACUGGGACUGAGACACGGCCCAGACUCCUACGGGAGCAG